GAUCGGAUGAUUGUGUUUGUUUCUCAGCACCCGGUUGUAUAUGAUAAAAAAGAAAAGAACUACAAGGACAAAGAGUUUAAAGACAACGUAUGGAGAGAAAUAGCACAGGAGCUUCAGUGUGACGAUGUUGAAGAAGUGAAGAAGUUGUGGAAACAUUUGAGGGACACUUAUGUGAGAAAGAAGAGCUGGAGGAUGGAGAUGUGAAGAGUGGCCAGGCAGAGAAAUCUGGAUGUCGAGGAAGAGCGGGAAGAGGAUGCAGGGCCAGCAGAGCAGGUGUGUGACCAAGAAGAAAGUGAGCGAGAGGGUGGUGCUGUAGCUCCCAGGCCAGCCAAGGCAAAAAGGAAGAGUAGUGACAGCAUGCUGGAGGGUUACCUGAGUAAGAAGCACCAGAGAGAUUGGGUCACUCAGUUUCUUUUAAGCUUAGCCCCUGCAAUGAGGUGUCUGCCCCCAGAAAGGCAGUCCUGGAUUCGGUUAAAGAUGCAGGAGGUGUGUCAUGAGGCAGAGUUUGGAGCUGUUUAUUCUCAGCCAUACAUACUUAUUUUCCUGCUUUGUAACGGUGCUGCUAUAUUUUUCAUAUUUAUUCAAGUUAUAUUAAUGUUAUUGUUUAAUUUGUUAAA